UUCCAGACUCCUACGGGAGGCAGCAGUGGGGAAUAUUGCACAAUGGGGGAAACCCUGAUGCAGCGACGCCGCGUGAGUGAAGAAGUAUUUCGGUAUGUAAAGCUCUAUCAGCAGGAACGAGACAAGACGGUACCUGACUAAGAAGCUCCGGCUAACUACGUGCCAGCAGCCGCGGUAAUACGUAGGGGGCAAGCGUUAUCCGGAAUCACUGGGUGUAAAGGGGGCGCAGACGGCGAUGCAAGCCAGGAGUGAAAGCCCGGGGCCCAACCCCGGGACUGCUCUUGGAACUGCGUGGCUGGAGUGCAGGAGGGGCAGGCGGAAUUCCUGGUGUAGCGGUGAAAUGCGUAGAUAUCAGGAGGAACACCGGUGGCGAAGGCGGCCUGCUGGAUUGCAACUGACGUUGAGGCCCGAAAGCGUGGGGAGCAAACAGGAUUAGAUACCCCAGUACC
rnacentral:rRNA from 1 species